rnacentral:rRNA from 1 species
UACGGAGGGUCCGAGCGUUAAUUGGAAUUACUGGGCGUAAAGCGUGCGCAGGCGGUUUGUUAAGUCAGAUGUGAAAGCCCCGGGCUCAACCUGGGAACAGCAUUUGAAACUGACAAACUAGAGUCUUGUAGAGGGGGGUAGAAUUCCAGGUGUAGCAGUGAAAUGCGUAGAGAUGUGGAGGAAUACCGGUGGCGAAGGCAACUCCCUGGCCAAAGACUGACGCUCAUGUGCGAAAGUGUGGGUAGCGAACAGG